GCCGGGCAUGGUAGUGCACACCUGUAAUCUCAGCAACUAGGGAGGCUGAGGCAGGAAGAUCUCAAGUUCAAAGCCAGCCUCAGCAAUUUAGUGAGGCCCUAAGCAACUCAGUGAGACCCUGUCUCUA
rnacentral:sRNA from 1 species